GAUGAACGCUGGCGGCGUGCCUAACACAUGCAAGUCGAGCGAUUCUCUUCGGAGAAGAGCGGCGGACGGGUGAGUAACGCGUGGGUAACCUGCCCUGUACACACGGAUAACAUACCGAAAGGUAUGCUAAUACGGGAUAACAUAAGAAAUUCGCAUGUUUUUCUUAUCAAAGCUCCGGCGGUACAGGAUGGACCCGCGUCUGAUUAGCUAGUUGGUGAGGUAACGGCUCACCAAGGCGACGAUCAGUAGCCGACCUGAGAGGGUGAUCGGCCACAUUGGAACUGAGACACGGUCCAAACUCCUACGGGAGGCAGCAGUGGGGAAUAUUGCACAAUGGGCGAAAGCCUGAUGCAGCAACGCCGCGUGAGCGAUGAAGGCCUUCGGGUCGUAAAGCUCUGUCCUCAAGGAAGAUAAUGACGGUACUUGAGGAGGAAGCCCCGGCUAACUACGUG
rnacentral:rRNA from 1 species